rnacentral:rRNA from 1 species
GGAGUUUGGUCCGUGUCUCAGUACCAAUGUGGGGGACCUUCCUCUCAGAACCCCUACUGAUCGUCGCCUUGGUGGGCCGUUACCCCGCCAACUGGCUAAUCAGACGCAUCCCCAUCCCUUACCGAUGAAUCUUUGCUCCUCGUUAGAUGCCCGCAAAGGAGAACAUAGGGCAUUAAUCCGCAUUUCUACGGGCUAUGCCCUACUAUGGGGAAGGUUGGAUACGCGUUACUCACCCGUGCGCCGGUCGCCAUCGACAAUAGCAAGCUAUCGUCAUGCUGCCCCUCGACUUGCAUGUGUUAAGCCUGUAGCUAGCGUUCAUC